GAUGCACGAAUUUGAGGAGAUUUGUUAACUUUUCAGUCUUAUUUCCUUCCAUAUUUGUAAGAUAUUACAAAUUUUUUCUGUUUAUAUAUAUAUAAAACAAUUGGCAGCAAAGAUUUUUGAGAGGGCAAGAGCACAGGUGGGAAGGUUUGAAAUUUUGCGAAAGCUUAUGAAAGUUUGGAUUGAAUUUGGGCUUUGAUACCAAAAUUGAUGUAG
rnacentral:misc_RNA from 1 species